rnacentral:rRNA from 1 species
AUUGAACGCUGGCGACAGGCCUAACACAUGCAAGUCGAGCGAGCGGCGGACGGGUGAGUAAUGUCUGGGAAACUGCCUGAUGGAGGGGGAUAACUACUGGAAACGGUAGCUACUACCGCAUACCAUCAGAUGUGCCCAGCUGGGAUUAGCUAGUAGGUGUGGUAAUGGCUCACCUAGGCGACGAGCCCUAGCUGGGCUGAGAGGAUGACCAGCCACACUGGAACUGAGACACGGCCCAGACUCCUACGGGAGGCAGCAGUGGGGAAUAUUGCACAAUGGGCGAAAGCCUGAUGCAGCCAUGCCGCGUGUGUGAAGAAGGUCUUCGGGUUGUAAAGCACUUUCAGCGGGGAGGCGUUACCCGCAGAAGAAGCACCGGCUAACUCCGUGCCAGCAGCCGCGGUAAUUC